ACGAACGCUGGCGGCGUGCUUAACACAUGCAAGUCGAACGGAGGAUUUAUUUCGGUAGAUCCUUAGUGGCGAACGGGUGAGUAACGCGUGGGCAAUCUGCCCUUCAGAUGGGGACAACAUCCCGAAAGGGGUGCUAAUACCGAAUACGAUCCUUCCACCGCAUGGAGGAAGGAUGAAAGAUGGCCUCUAUUUAUAAGCUAUCGCUGAAGGAUGAGCCUGCGUCUGAUUAGCUAGUUGGUGGGGUAACGGCCUACCAAGGCGAUGAUCAGUAGCCGGUCUGAGAGGAUGAACGGCCACAUUGGGACUGAGACACGGCCCAAACUCCUACGGGAGGCAGCAGUGGGGAAUAUUCCGCAAUGGACGAAAGUCUGACGGAGCAACGCCGCGUGAGUGAUGAAGGUUUUCGGACUGUAAAGCUCUGUUGUUUAGGACGAAAGUGCCUGCUGCAAACAGUUGCAGGUAUUGACGGUACUGAACGAGGAAGCCACGGCUAACUACGUGCCAGCAGCCGCGGUAAUACGUAGGUGGCAAGCGUUGUCCGGAAUUAUUGGGCGUAAAGAGCAUGUAGGCGGGAAUCUAAGUCUGUUGUGAAAAUGCGGGGCUCAACCCCGUAUGGCGAUGGAAACUGGAUUUCUUGAGUGCAGGAGAGGAAAGGGGAAUUCCCAGUGUAGCGGUGAAAUGCGUAGAUAUUGGGAGGAACACCAGUGGCGAAGGCGCCUUUCUGGACUGUGUCUGACGCUGAGAUGCGAAAGCCAGGGUAGCGAACGGGAUUAGAUACCCCGGUAGUCCUGGCCGUAAACGAUGGGUACUAGGUGUAGGGGGUAUCGACCCCCCCUGUGCCGGAGUUAACGCAAUAAGUACCCCGCCUGGGGAGUACGGCCGCAAGGUUG
rnacentral:rRNA from 1 species